UUGCAUUUUACUGCUAGGAUCAAACUGUUGAAUAUUUAUAAUGACGAUGGACAAUCAAAAAAGUUCAGCAUUAAAGGAUGAACUAUUAUGAACGAGAAGACGUGAAGUUGCAUUUAAUUAUUAUUAUUGCAUUUAAUUAUUAUUACUAUUAUUAUUUUUAUUAUUAUUAUUAUUAUUAUUAUUAUUAUUAUUAUUAUUAUUAAUAUUAUUUUUAAUAAUUAGUUUUAGGUAGAUAUCGAUAAUUUUUCUUUUUCGUAUGCGAUAUUUCCUUAUCAGUAAUAACUAUAAGUAUGUGUGAUUUAUCGCAUUUAAUUAGCUAAUGAUGUUAUAAACGAUAUAUUACAGGAAGAAUGAUAAAGAAAAUGAAUGCGUGUAAAUAUGAUAUUUUUUAAACGAUUAUCAAGGACUUCUUAUACGUUACGAUGCGUCCUAAUUAAUUUAUUUUUUACAUCCGUCACGUUGAACGGUACAUUUUUUUCUUUUUUUUUUUUUUCUUUCUUUUUUUCAAACAGUAUGUAGAUAUAUUUGUAUAUUUUUUUACGAACGUUAUAUUUAUCCGAUAAUAAUAAUAAUUAAAAAAAAAACUCGACUUAGAUUCGAUUCCACGUAAACACUUUAAACGUUUUUUUAUUUUCAUGAGAAAAAAAGAAAUUUACUUCGACCCAAAGAGAACGUGUACGACGAUCAUAGCUAUGAAUUCCUCCGUUCAUGUUGGCUUCUAACACUCCACGCACUGGCCGUAAAAGAGGAAAUUUUUCGCGAUUUAAAAAAAGAACAAAAAAAAAAAUAGAGAAAAAAGGAAGGAGAAAAGUCGAAAGAAAAAUAAUAAUUCAACUGAAGUAAGGAAAAGAGGACAAAAGAAGAAAAGAAAAAAUAACAUGAAGAGUGAGCGAACAAAGCUAAAUAUUUGAUAUUUAAAAAAAAAAAAAAAUAAAAAAUAAAGAUUAAAUAAAGAAUUCAAUUGUCAUAAAAAUUUACUAUUGAAAGAGCAAAGAGUAAUUUCAGGCUAAUAUAGACAUCAUUAUAUUUUUCCUGAUUACAAUAAUCUAUGUACAGAAAUAAUGACUAUUUCAUAGAUAAAAAAUUGAUUGAAAAAAAAAAAUAUAUAUAUAUAUAUAUAAUUAAUUUAAUACAAUGCAUUAUCAAGCAUUGUCCAAAUUGAUUAUAGUAAUGUUCAAAAUUUAAAGAACAUUAACGCAAUGAUAGUUAAGAGGAUGGAUAAAGAUAGUAUGAAAGUAUUUCAGAAAUUUAAAGAAAUGAAAAAUUCAUUAUAGAACGCCAAACAAUUUGUAUAAUUGUUAAAAUUAAAAAUAAAACUGUAAGUGAUAUUUUUACAAGAGAGACAUAUAUAUAUAUAUAUAUAUAUAUAUAUAUAUAUAUAUAUCCAAUAUCAAUCGAUUCUAUUCCGAUCCAUCACAUCUUGGAUCACUUUGUAAGCCAAAAUCGCUGCAACGAAAUUUCUAUAAAUUAUAAAGAGAAAGAGAGAGAGAGAACGUGAAUGUAUGUAAGUACAUACAUACGUAAAACCAAGCUCAAUAUUAAAGACAUGGCUAAUAUAGGCGACAUAGUGAAAUCGUAUAACUUUAUACGUAAUAACGAUCAUAUUUCGCAGCUACGUAAAACGAACGAAACGUCGUGUACAGGAAUGAAAAGAUGGAAUGAGAAGAUGGAAGAUGUGGUAUAUCGUUCAGUUUUAUUAUUGAAGCAAUAAAACCUUAGUAAACGAGUAAUAAUUUCAAAGUUGAGCGCCGUUCAGUUUGAAAAGCACCUUCGGCGACUCCGAGAAAAGCUUCUCACAUCUAAUUCAACGUCGCCAUCGUGCCAAUAAGUUUUAGACUACCAAAAUCCUUUUUGGAAUAUGAAUUGGACUUAUAGUUACAGAUAUAGAUUUGGAAUAUUUUUGAAAUUCGACGAUACUUGUCUCAUUGAAAAAUUAUGAGAAUUAAAUAUUUCACAGUUGCAAUCUGAGCAUUGCAUGAAUAUUUUUUCGUGAAUGUAUUCUCUUUUUUUUUUAUUUUUUUUUUUCUUUCGUAAUUGGAUUUUUUCAAAUCUAUUGAUUAUUAUUUCCGAGGCUUGAAAGAAUAUAUAGUAUUUUUUCUUUUUUUUUGGAGUCAAAUUUAUUCAUUCUAUAAAUGAGAGUCGUUCAAAGUGCCUGUAUGGUAUAUCGCAACCCAAAGUGCACAACUUGAAAUUAUUUUGAGAUGUGCACACACAGCUAGGAUUAAAUUCGACGUAAUCUAAAUGAUCGUAUAAACUAUAUUAGCUGUAAAUCUUGUUGUUCUCUGUGAUAUGAAAUGUAAUAGAUACAAGAAAAUGGUUAGCUAACCAAUGACAGUGGCAUAUCCAUGAAAGACUGAACGAAUUCACCAACGGAUAUUCGAUCGGACAUUGACGCUAACGAGAUUUUCUCUCGUCGACUUCGAGAUUGAGAUACUCUGUUAUAAAGGGUUAAUACAGAUCUUCCUUAGAACAAGAGAAAUGCUUGAUUUUCUCACAUAGUAAAAAGAUAAAAGAGCUAUCUCCAUUGGUUCUUGCACCUACAUACAUAGAUAUCAGGAUUUUGGAAGAUAACGCGACAGCCACUAUGAGCUUAACGUUUUUGUACGAUCUUUUUCCGAUAAUUAAUGUUCGUUUGCGUUCACCGACGAAACGAAAAGAAGUAAAAUAGUUCGGUGACAUGGUAGAAGAGAGAGAAAGAGAUAGAUAGAUAGAGAUAGAGAGAGAAUCUGGAUCAGAUUAAUGGUCGUUUUACUCUCUCGCCAUUACAGAAAAGAAUGGUUUUCGAUAUCGUCCGUUAGCCGAACCGAAUAGGCAACGUAGACGAAACUUAUCCGAAUAGAAAUCAAAAGGCAUCUCAAAUUAUAAACUCGUAAUAGAAUUCUUAUAGUUGUAAUCAAUCGAAUGUUUCUUCUUUUUUCUUUCAUUUUUUCUUUUUUCUUUUUUCUUCUUCUUUUUUUUUUUUCAAACGAUCGUAGGACAACGACGACGACGAUGAGUCGUCUUUCAGAAGCUUAAAAAUCUUACUUAAGUUUUGUAUCGAAUAGAGCAACAUGGCGAUAAGUUAUAUUAAAAGCAAAGCUUCGAUCGUAUACCUCAGGCACGUCUUAGGAAAUCUCGUGAAGCGUUGAAGAAAAGAAAAAAAGAAAA